rnacentral:lncRNA from 1 species
GAUAUUGGAUGCUUCAAUGACACUUGACUAGCUAGUUAGAUGGGAAAUGCAUGACCAAUGUUGACUCCAUGGCAUAUGCAAAUGCUGAUUGGCUCCACUGAUUCCCACAGAUUUGCUUCAAUAUACAACUUCAAUUAUAUAUGGACCAUUUUUUUUUUUUCGUGUGGAUGUAAUCCCAAGUACGCCAUUGUAAAUAAUAAUUCAUCGAAACUAUGUCUUAGUCAUAUCAACAAGAUUAAGUUUAGCAAAGUACUUGAAUUUGGUUUCAAAAUCAAGAAAAUAUUUUUGUUUGAAAUUUAGAUUAGAAAGAAAACGAAAUUAAAAGCUAUUAAAUCAUCCACUACAUGAAUUAUUGUGUACUGGUUUAGCAACCAUAUGAGCAAUUAAACAUAC